rnacentral:rRNA from 1 species
GCAAGUCGAGGGGCAGCAUGAUUGAAGCUUGCUUCAAUUGAUGGCGACCGGCGCACGGGUGAGUAACGCGUAUCCAACCUUCCGUACACUCAGGGAUAGCCUUUCGAAAGAAAGAUUAAUACCCGAUGGUAUGAUGAGAUUGCAUGAUAGCAUCAUUAAAGAUUUAUCGGUGUACGAUGGGGAUGCGUUCCAUUAGGUAGUAGGCGGGGUAACGGCCCACCUAGCCGACGAUGGAUAGGGGUUCUGAGAGGAAGGUCCCCCACAUUGGAACUGAGACACGGUCCAAACUCCUACGGGAGGCAGCAGUGAGGAAUAUUGGUCAAUGGACGAGAGUCUGAACCAGCCAAGUAGCGUGAAGGAUGAAGGUCCUACGGAUUGUAAACUUCUUUUAUAAGGGAAUAAAACCUCCCACGUGUGGGAGCUUGUAUGUACCUUAUGAAUAAGCAUCGGCUAACUCCGUGCCAGCAGCCGCGGUAAUACGGAGGAUGCGAGCGUUAUCCGGAUUUAUUGGGUUUAAAGGGAGCGCAGACGGGUCGUUAAGUCAGCUGUGAAAGUUUGGGGCUCAACCUUAAAAUUGCAGUUGAUACUGGCAGUCUUGAGUGCAGUAGAGGUGGGCGGAAUUCGUGGUGUAGCGGUGAAAUGCUUAGAUAUCACGAAGAACUCCGAUUGCGAAGGCAGCUCACUGGAGUGUAACUGACGCUGAUGCUCGAAAGUGUGGGUAUCAAACAGGAUUAGAUACCCUGGUAGUCCACACAGUAAACGAUGAAUACUCGCUGUUUGCGAUAUACAGUA